UCUCAAAGAUUAAGCCAUGCAUGUGUAAGUCUAAAUAGUUUUAGUGUGAAACUGCGAAUGGCUCAUUAUAUCAUUCAUAUUCAAUUGGGAAAGAAUUCUAUAUGGACAACCGUAGUAACUCUAGGGCUAAUACACUGGUCCAGUUUGGUGGGCAACUAUUUAAUAAAUACUUAUCAGGCAUAAAACCAAUGUAAUGUAGUUGUGAGUAAUAAUAAUUGUUGACUUUAUCGCAUGCUUGUUAUUAUCGAUGUUCCUUUCAAGUUUCUGCCCUAUCAGCUUUCGAUGGUAUUGUAUUGGACUACCAUGGCAGUAACGGGUAACGAACAAUUUGGGUUCGAUUUCGGAGAGGGAGCCUGAAAGAUGGCUACCACAUCCAAGGAAGGCAGCUAGCCCGUAAAUUACCCAAUCCUGACACAGGGAGGUACUGACAAUAAAUCUCAAUACGAAGCCUUUGGUUUUGUAAUUGAAUUGAAAACAAUGUACAAUCCUUAUCGAUAAAC
rnacentral:rRNA from 1 species